rfam:Oryza meridionalis cultivar OR44 (W2112) chromosome 1, whole genome shotgun sequence.
AAUAAGUAUAAUUUUGCAUGGUUCGUGUUCAACGUUUGACCGUUCAUCUUAUUUGAAAAUUUUUAUAAUUAGUAUUUUUGUUGUUAUUCGAUGAUAAAACAUAAAUAGUACUUUAUGUGUGACUAUUUUUAAAAAUUUUUUGAUAAUUUUUUCAAAUAAGAUGGACGGUCAAAUAUUGAACACGGAUAUCCACGGCUACGCUUAUU